rnacentral:rRNA from 1 species
CAGUCGAGCGGUAACAGAUCCAGCUUGCUGGAUGCUGACGAGCGGCGGACGGGUGAGUAAUGCAUAGGAAUCUGCCCGAUAGUGGGGGAUAACCUGGGGAAACCCAGGCUAAUACCGCAUACGUCCUACGGGAGAAAGGGGGCUUCGGCUCCCGCUAUCGGAUGAGCCUAUGUCGGAUUAGCUAGUUGGUGAGGUAAAGGCUCACCAAGGCAACGAUCCGUAGCUGGUCUGAGAGGAUGAUCAGCCACAUCGGGACUGAGACACGGCCCGAACUCCUACGGGAGGCAGCAGUGGGGAAUAUUGGACAAUGGGGGCAACCCUGAUCCAGCCAUGCCGCGUGUGUGAAGAAGGCCCUCGGGUUGUAAAGCACUUUCAGCGAGGAAGAACGCCUAACGGUUAAUACCCGCUAGGAAAGACAUCACUCGCAGAAGAAGCACCGGCUAACUCCGUGCCAGCAGCCGCGGUAAUACGGAGGGUGCAAGCGUUAAUCGGAAUUACUGGGCGUAAAGCGCGCGUAGGUGGCUUGAUAAGCCGGUUGUGAAAGCCCCGGGCUCAACCUGGGAACGGCAUCCGGAACUGUCAAGCUAGAGUGCAGGAGAGGAAGGUAGAAUUCCCGGUGUAGCGGUGAAAUGCGUAGAGAUCGGGAGGAAUACCAGUGGCGAAGGCGGCCUUCUGGACUGACACUGACACUGAGGUGCGAAAGCGUGGGUAGCAAACAGGAUUAGAUACCCUGGUAGUCCACGCCGUAAACGAUGUCGACCAGCCGUUGGGUGCCUAGCGCACUUUGUGGCGAAGUUAACGCGAUAAGUCGACCGCCUGGGGAGUACGGCCGCAAGGUUAAAACUCAAAUGAAUUGACGGGGG